GGAUUCGAUCUCCAAUCCCUCCUACUAGGUAAACUCCUCCGUUCCCUUUCUUUUCCUUCGUUAAUUCGUUGCAUUUUUAGGGAUUUGCCCAAGAUUAGGUGGAACCUUUGAUUUGCUUGGUUUGGAUCUUUGUUUGCCCAAGAUUAGGUGGAACCUUUGAUCCCCCCCCCCCCCCCACACACACACACUAUAUGAUUCUUGUUAGUGAAAUGUAGAUUGUAUAUAUUUUUAGAUAUAUAUGAGAUGCCUAGUUUUGUAGAUAAUUAUGAGAUUGUUGAGUUUUGUAGCUAUAUGUGAGAUGUUGAUUUUUUUAAGAUACAUAUUAAAUGUUGAGUUUAUUUGAAAUAUGAGAUGUUGAUUUACUUGAACACAUAUGACAUACUAGAUAUAUAUGAGAAUUUAUAAUCAUUUAUUCAUUGUGUGAGAAGGAGAUGUUGAGAUUCUUAUAGAUGAAUACAUAUGAGAUGUUUAGAUGAACACAUAUGAAAUGUUGAUUGUAUACCGAUUUUUGAGAUGAGCUCAUAUAUGUUUAUUGUUUGAACUUUGUAAGGAUGGUUUGGCUUCUUGACAAUGCCAUUGACACGAAACACCGGGCCUACAUGAUCCGCGAGAAGGAGAUGAAGCUUGAACCUUUGAAGAUUCGGUAUCACGGGGUCUCUGGUCCUGCCAUGCCUUACGAUGAGCAGUACACACCGUACAUCAAGCAGGCAGGACUACUCCCGUGGAUUCAGUUGGUCAGCCGGUCCACGCCGAAUCUGAACGCUCCACUGGUGUCCGCUCUUGCUGAUCGGUGGAGGCCGGAGACGCAUAGUUUCCAUCUUUGGACUGGGGAGAUGACCGUGACGCUCGAGGAUGUCUCGUUGAUCACCGGUCUUGCUAUCGACGGGAUGCCUCUCUGUAUGAGCACCGAUUCUGAUGGGUGGCGCGAGCAGAUGAUUGCUCUUAUCGGUAUGGCUCCUACCGAGGCUGAGGCUGAUGUAGAAGAAGGAGAAGAGAAGAAGAAGAGGGAAAGGAAAGCAGCCGGAGCUGCUUUCACGUGGAUUCAAAACAACUUUGCGACGUGCCCUCCGGAUGCCACUGAUGAUGUGAUCCAGACACAUGCUCGUGUCUACACGUGGUACGUUGUGUUGAGGACUUUGUUUCCUGACUCCACUGGCAAGAACGCUCCGUGGAUGUGGCUGAAGGCGUUGACCGUCUUCGAUAGCAAAUGGAGCUAGGGUUCAGCGACUCUUGCCUACUUGUACCGACAGGUGGAUGAUGCAUGUUGCAGGAUCACAGAUAGUGCUGGCAUUGGUGGUAAUAUGCUUCUACUUUCUGUAUGGAGCUGGGAGCGUCUGCCUGUUGGACGCCCGAAGAGCGUCAGGUUUAAUCCUUGGUAUGAAGAUGAAGAUGACGAAUUACGGCGCCGCACUUGGGCUUACAAGUGGGAUGUGGUUUCCGAGAUGACGAACGAUGUCAAUCUCAUGUACCAGAAGUACGUUGCCGAGUUGGACACGAUUACGCCUGAGCAGGUGGAAUGGCAGCCAUAUGGCGCCGAUGACAGACUUGGGUACACCCCGGAGUUUACCAUCAACCCGAUGUGCUUGCGGGAUAGGGAUCUCAGGCUUAUGCGGUGCCCAUUGAUAUGCAACUGGGCUGUUGAGUUUCAUUUGCCACAUCGCGUGUUUCGUCAGUUUGGCCUGUUCCAGCCUCACCCGCUGGAAUGGGUGGAUACGGACAAAACACUUCAUAGGUAAGAGAGCGUAUUUGAAAGAU